UUAGAAUGAGUUCCAUGUCAUCUGGGGAAACACAGUUAACUGGUGAUUAUAGGCAUCGCCUUUUUUUUUUUUUUUAAGCCCUGGGGAGUGGUAUCUUUUCCUUAUCAUUUGGUGCAUUCUAAGCCUCCCUUCUCUUUAGCAGGUGGUUGGUUCCAGCAAAUCUGUCACCCUCCCCGAAGCAAAAAGAGAUCCAAAGAGCUACUGUCUAAGAGCUGGAGCUACAGAGCUUGAAAUUACCACCGAAAAAUACUGAAAUGGUGGGCCCUUCACUGCUUCCUCAUAAGGAUACCAGAGGCAACAAGGCCCAUUAAGCAGGACAGUGGGCACAUGACUGUGUACGUUGUUUUUGCAGGAGUACUAAUUGAGGCACUUCAGUUCAUUUGAACUUUGGGUUGAGCCUGAAUUUGUUCGAUGUCGGUUCCCUUCUCAGUCUUCAUCCCACUUCUUCAGCUCUGGUUCCACCCACGUGCAAAUACGGUUGACCGCUCGGGGCACGAGACCCUCAUUGCGCACUUUUUCCCUCUCCUGUCAACGUUCCUCUGAACUUGAAUGUUUUUGACCUGAACCGUUCAAAUAGGACUGCUUUUCUCGUGCUGCUUUUCAGACCUGUUCAGUGUCCCAUCACCUUCACAGCCGGCUCUCGCUCGGGUCAGCCUGUGAACUCACCUGGGGUGGGGGCCUUUCCCCCAUCCCGGCCGGUCCCAGCCGGAGGGGCGUGCAGAACAGGAGUCCGCCCAGGGCAGAGUAGCCAGGCUUGGGAAAUCAUCUCAACAGAGAACACAUUAAAAAGAACUUGGCCCGUGGUUGGUUGACUUAACACACCACUUCAAGACUGGAAAAGGUCCUUACACUCAAAUCCUGGCUGGCUGUAACCCAGCCUCACGGAAAACAGAGGCACCAAGUGGCUGAUGCUGCAGAACACUUUUCUGUUAGAACAAAGGAACAUUUCAUUGUACAGGGGUGUUUAGGAAGACAAAGUUCUGUGGUAGAGGAUAGAGAGGUGUAGGGGAACAUAUUUUAACCUGGGGAGUAAAAAUGCUGACUCCUGAGUGCCCUAAGUGAUGCCACCAGCUUCCAUGGCCCUGUUUCCUCACCUCUAAAAACAAUGGAGAGUUUCAGAUUUGGCCAUUUUUAAUUCGAUGGGAUAGAUUAGACAUGACCCCUCUUGAAAAAGUUUUCCCUGCGAGAUGUAUGGCAGAAUACAUCUUCCAAGUAACAAAAUAGCAGUAAAGGUCAUAACUGCUGCUGGGCACGUUUUUCUAGAAAUUUCUUCUCGAAUGAUGUGUACUGGUUCAUUUUUGUUUGUUUUAUUCUCUUUCAAAUAGGAUGUUUUAAUUUAUACACUCGAAACUAAAGUUUCUGCCCAGUACUUACAGGUUUAUUUCGUGGCACACUUAAGGAGUGAGGCCACAGGUGGGCUCCUGGGUGCUCAGGGGACUGACAGAGGGGACUCCGCUCUGAACAUCUGUCCUUAGUGUCACGUUCAAAGCUGGCAAACAUAUCUAGUCCCCCUUGAAGAACAUUUAGAAUCUUCAUUGAUCACUCAGAGAUUUCUAAAGUCUGUUCUGGAAGGUGAGACCAUGCCGUGGUGGUUUUUAUAGUAGCUGUUUUAAUUUGUAUACUGCAUCCAAAGUUAUGUUUUUAAGUGUUAAUGCUCUCUGUAAAGUGAUUUGUUUCAAGCACAUUAAAGGUUGUUUUGAGCACUGC